AUACAGUAUUCCUUCAGGCUGCUGUUGUUUAGAGGGCUCUGACAGAGCUCAUGUUCAUGCCUGGGAUAAGGAUUUUUGCAUCAGACACAGGAAACUGGGCUCAUCCUUUCCAAGCUAACCCAGCAUCUGAUAAUUUAACCCAGGAAAGGGUAAUGGUGCUGCAGGAGCUGCUGAGGGCAGGAAGAGCCUCCUGUGACCCCUAGGAUGGAACACAAGUCUGCUAAUAUUGGUGCAUUCCUCAG